rnacentral:tRNA from 1 species
ACUUUUAAAGGAAACCAGUCAUCCGGUGGUCUUAGGCACCACAGCUCUUGGUGUAAGUCCAAGUAAAAGUA